CCUACGUGGUGCAGCAGUGAGGUAUAUUGGUCAAUGGGCGCGAGCCUGAACCAGCCAAGUAGCGUGAAGGAUGACUGCCCUACGGGUUGUAAACUUCUUUUAUAAAGGAAUAAAGUGAGGCACGUGUGCCUUUUUGUAUGUACUUUAUGAAUAAGGAUCGGCUAACUCCGUGCCAACAGCCGCGGUAAUACGGAGGAUCCGAGCGUUAUCCGGAUUUAUUGGGUUUAAAGGGAGCGUAGAUGGGUUGUUAAGUCAGUUGUGAAAGUUUGCGGCUCAACCGUAAAAUUGCAAUUGAUACUGGCAGUCUUGAGUACAGUUGAGGUAGGCGGAAUUCGUGGUGUAGCGGUGAAAUGCUUAGAUAUCACGAAGAACUCCGAUUGCGAAGGCAGCUUACUAAACUGCCACUGACAUUGAUGCUCGAAAGUGUGGGUAUCAAACAGGAUUAGAUACCCCAGUAGUC
rnacentral:rRNA from 1 species